rnacentral:tRNA from 1 species
GUCACGAUUAGAAUAAAUGGUAGUUCGCUGGGAUUGUAUACCAGAGGUGCUGGUUCGACUCCAGCUCGUGACA